UUAUUCUCCAGGGUCCAUAAGGUAAUAUUGCAUUGCCCAUCAGUUCUGAUACCUACCAUUCUAACAUGAAAUACUCAAGUCAGCCUCUCCAUAUGUUAACUCUUUGCUGCAGUAUAUCUUUGCUGCACAAAAAUUCUUAGCAAUGAUUUUCCAAAUGGGUAGCAAGAAAAAGUAAAUUUGAUCAAAUGCUGUUAUCCAGAUGUGCUGAAUAAAAGAAGUGAAUGCUGCAGGGGCUGACAAAUCACUCAGCUUAGAAUCAUUUAGCCUGGAGCAAUAUUAUGGGGCCAAGAUAAUAAUUCUACAUGCUGCUACAGUUCUGAAUCUAUGUAUGAGCUUGUGGGACCUAUUGACUUGAGAGCAACUUACCAACUGAUGUGCAUGGUGAAGAUGUAGUCCUUGAUCAUUCAACAUAAUCAGGAUAGACUUUGCUCCUUGAUGCUUCGUUGCCUGAAUGUGCUAAAGUAUUCAAAAAAAAAAAAAAUGUUUUCCCCCAUAUAUGCAAUUUCAAAACUUUGUCUCAAUAUGUUGGUUUUCAGUUUCCUGCUCUGAUGAAUCUGAAAUACCCUGGAUCUGACACGCUGUCACUUGAUUUCAGGAAUGAAGUUGUUCAAAUUGAUAGAAGAUUUUUUCCCCACAACUGUCACUCUGUAUUGAGGUUCGUGGAGUUUCAUUUUUAUUGGGAAGUUGAAAAGAAAAGAAAAGAAAAGAAGAG